UACGUAGGGUGCGAGCGUUGUCCGGAAUUACUGGGCGUAAAGAGCUCGUAGGUGGUUUGUCGCGUUGUUCGUGAAAUCCCACGGCUUAACUGUGGGCGUGCGGGCGAUACGGGCAGACUGGAGUACUGCAGGGGAGACUGGAAUUCCUGGUGUAGCGGUGGAAUGCGCAGAUAUCAGGAGGAACACCGGUGGCGAAGGCGGGUCUCUGGGCCGAUACUGACGCUGAGGAGCGAAAGCGUGGGGAGCAAACAGG
rnacentral:rRNA from 1 species